GGCCGUGUGGCGAAAUGGCAUCGCGUCUGACUACGAUACAUAUCGUGUUCGUAUCUAUAAUCAGGAGAUUGCAGGUUCGACCCCUGUCUCGGUCA